CUUUGGCCGGGUUGAGUGGCACGCAUGUGACAUGCGCGUGAAUGGUUCACCAAAAUGGGCUCCUCAUGCUUCUCUAUAUAAACCGUGAUGCCACUCACCGGUGAAAUCAAUCUAGAGUUUGCUUCCUUGGCUCCUUUGUAUGGCGACAUCGCUCAUAGUCUACUCCAUCCCACUCGUCGGAGCAACUCCAUCCCCCGUCCAGCUCGCCGGCGUGUACUGGUUAUUAGGAGAGCAGGUCUCAAAAAAGGUUUUUGGGAAGCGCUCCACGUGACUUCUUGUUGUUCGUCAACUACGGCUCCUCAUUGCUCGAGUGAUGCGUGCUGUCGUCAACACCCGGUACCGCGAGUGGUUCCUGUUGUGCAGCAGAACAUCCAGAACCCUUGCUUCAUCGAUGACAUCGACUGCAUCCUCUAUGAUGGUAACGACCGCAUCACCGAUGAUGACAUCGAUCAUAUCAUCUACAACAACAAUGUCUCCAUCAACUCGGCAUCACUAUUUUGAUGACUGCUACACGACAUAGAAAGUCGUAGACUGCAAGAUAAUUGAGCUAUCGCCACCAAUUUAUUAUAACGAAAAAUAUUUCGUAGCAAUAUAUUAUAUUAUCGCAAUGAUAAUUUUUCUAUGGCAAAUAACUAUAUUUUGUUGCAACCAUUUAUAAUCGUUGUUUUAUUCAGUAUUUUUGUUGCAAUAGGAAAUGAGCUAUUGCCACAAAAAAACAUUACUAUUGCAAAAAGCAUGUUCUAUCACCACAAUUUUAAUUUAUGUGGCUAUUUGCAUAGUACAUGGUACUUUUGUUGCCACGAUAAAUAAAUUCGUUGCAAUAAAAAAAUUUAUCAUCUCA